rnacentral:rRNA from 1 species
GACAGAGGCCUCAAGCGUUAGGCGGAAUCACUGGGCUUAAAGCGUGUGUAGGCGGAUCGUUAAGUGUCUUGUGAAAUCCCACGGCUCACCCGUGGAACUGCUGGGCAUACUGGCGAUCUUGGGCCAACUAGGGGCAGCCGGAACAAGCGGUGGAGCGGUGAAAUGCGUAGAUAUCGCUUGGAACGCCGGAAGGUGAAAACAGGCUGCUGGGGUUGUGCCGACGCCGUGAGACACGGAAAGCCAGGGGAGCAAACGGG